rnacentral:rRNA from 1 species
AGAGUUUGAUCCUGGCUCAGGAUGAACGCUAGCGACAGGCCUAACACAUGCAAGUCGAGGGGCAUCGGGACGUAGCAAUACGUUGCCGGCGACCGGCGGAUGGGUGAGUAACGCGUAUGCAACCUACCCGUAGCAGGGGGAUAGCCCGUUGAAAGACGGAUUAAUACCCCGUAACACAGGGGCUCCGCAUGGAGAUUAUUGUUAAAGGGUCAUUUCUUUUAGAGGUGGUCCGGCUACGGAUGGGCAUGCGUUCCAUUAGGUAGUUGGUGUAGGUAACGGCUCACCAAGCCGACGAUGGAUAGGGGAACUGAGAGGUUGGUCCCCCACACUGGUACUGAGACACGGACCAGACUCCUACGGGAGGCAGCAGUGAGGAAUCUUGGUCAAUGGACGCAAGUCUGAACCAGCCAUGUCGCGUGAAGGAGGACGGCCCUAAGGGUUGUAAACUUCUUUUGCAGUGGAAUAAAGUUUGCCACGAGUUGGCGAUUUGCAAGUACGCUGCGAAUAAGGAUCGGCUAACUCCGUGCCAGCAGCCGCGGUAAUACGGAGGAUCCGGGCGUUAUCCGGAUUUAUUGGGUUUAAAGGGUGCGCAGGCGGGGAUUUAGGUCGGCGGUGAAAUUUCGGGGCUCAACCUCGAUAGUGCCGUUGAAACCGUUUCUCUUGAGUGCGGAUGAGGUAGGCGGAAUUUGUGGUGUAGCGGUGAAAUGCGUAGAUAUCACAAGGAACACCGAUUGCGGAGGCAGCUUACUAAACCGUUACUGACGCUCAUGCACGAANGCGUGGGGAUCAAACAGGAUUAGAUACCCUGUAGUCCACGCAGUAAACGAUGAUUACUUGCUGUUUGCGAUACACAGUAAGCGGCGAAGCGAAAGCGUUAAGUAAUCCACCUGGGGAGUACGUUCGCAAGAAUGAAACUCAAAGGAAUUGA